rnacentral:lncRNA from 1 species
GUUGCAAACUCCAUUAGAAAUUUGAAUUGAGAUUGGUUUUGGAAUAAAGGAAAGGGGGAUGUGAAAAAAAAAAGGGGGGGGGUUCAAUUUUUCUCAUUUCAGAUUUCAAAAAUAGAAAGAAAAUUUCUUCAAACAUUUUUUUGAGAGGAUUAAUAUUCAACAGCAUAGUGAAUUGCUCAAAGGCAAAACAAAAGUUUUAAGUUCAUUAGACCACAUUCAUUCUGUGUCAGAAACCUAUGCUGUGUCAACUAUUUAAUCACAAUCCAAAUUUAGAGCUGAAUCCAGCUUGAAUGUUGUGUCCAUACUUACCCCAACCGUUCAGGGUUCAACCUCUGC